AGCAGCCGCGGUAAUUCCAGCUCCAAUAGCGUAUAUUAAAGUUGUUGCAGUUAAAAAGCUCGUAGUUGAAUUUCGGGGUCAAUAAGUUGGUCAUGCCAAUGGUAUGCACUGGCUUUAUUGAUUCCUACCUCUUGACGAACUGUGAUGCCAUUAAUUUGGUGUUGCAAGGAAUCAGGACUGUUACCUUGAAAAAAUUGAGUGUUUAAAGCAAGCUUACGCUUGAAUACAUUAGCAUGGAAUAAUGAAAUAGGACGUUUGAUCCUAUUUUGUUGGUUUCUAGGAUCGACGUAAUGAUUAAUAGGGAUAGUUGGGGGCAUUAGUAUUCAAAUUGUACAGAGGUGAAAUUCUUGGAUUUAUUGAAGACUAACUACUGCGAAAGCAUUUGCCAAGGAUGUUUUCAUUAAUCAAGAACGAAAGUUAGG
rnacentral:rRNA from 1 species